rnacentral:rRNA from 1 species
GACAGAGGGUGCAAACGUUGCUCGGAAUCACUGGGCGUAAAGGGCGUGUAGGCGGGAAGGAAAGUCAGAUGUGAAAUCCCCAGGCCCAACCUGGGAACUGCAUUUGAUACUGGGGAUCUUGAGUCCGGGAGAGGUGAGUGGAACUGCGAGUGUAGAGGUGAAAUUCGUAGAUAUUCGCAAGAACACCAGUGGCGAAGGCGGCUCACUGGCCCGGUACUGACGCUGAGGUGCGAAAGCGUGGGGAGCAAACAGG